rnacentral:rRNA from 1 species
UACGUAGGGGGCGAGCGUUGUCCGGAGUUACUGGGCGUAAAGGGCACGCAGGCGGUGCGGCGCGUUUCGCGUGACAGCGGAGGGCUUAACUCUCCGAGGAUGCGAAAGACGGCGGCACUUGAGGGCCAGAGAGGGACACGGAAUUCCGGGUGGAGUGGUGAAAUGCGUAGAGAUCCGGAGGAACACCGAAGGCGAGGGCAGUGUCCUGGCUGGUGACUGACGCUGAGGUGCGAAAGCUAGGGGAGCGAACGGG